UCUUUUAAUUGAGGACUGGAAUGAAAGGGUAAACUGGAAGAGAUUUUUUAGGAAUAAAAUUAUGAAGUUGGCUUUUUAGUAAAAAGACUAAAAUUUCUCUUAUAGACGAGAAGACCCUAUAAAACUUUAUAUUUAUUUUCUUUUAGGAAAGAGGGUAAGUAUUUUACUGGGGCGGUGGGAAAAAAAUCUUUUCUUAAAUUUGAGGACUUUAAGUCUUAAUAUCUAAAAAUUUUAAAAAAAGAAUAAGUUACUUUAGGGAUAACAGCUUAAUUCGCUUAGAAAGUUCUAAUCGACAAGCGAGUUUGUGACCUCGAUG
rnacentral:rRNA from 1 species